CGCCGCGCCACGAGGCCGCCGGCCACGAGGACGCCUGAGGAGGGAGGAAAGGCGCGGACGCGCUCCGGGCGCCGCGGAGCAGGGCAGGGGGCUGCGCGCUGAGCCGGACUGGCUGAGGCGCCCGGCACCGUGGACCCGGCGGCCCGGAGCGGGCCUGAGGAGCGGCCGGCGAGGCGGGCCCGAGCCUGAGAGGCGGAGCCGCUGGGGGGAGGGGCGACGCCGGAGGACGGCGAGACAGAGGCGGAGAGGCGGAGAAUCGGAGGGGAAAAGCGGGGGAAAGGAGGAGCCGGAGAAAAGACAGGGAGGAGCGGCCCGGCAAAGCGCAGGGAAGCGAAAAGAGGAGGCGGAGGAGGGCCGAGCCAGGCGCGGGGAGGAGCCAGCAAAGGGGCGGCGGCACCUGAGGUUACGUGAAGGUUCUACUAUAAACUACAGGCCAGAAUUUGUGUCUUCAACAAAGAAGAGCAAUCUCAGAGCCUCACGGAAAAGGACUGUACCAGAUUCAACAGAGGUGAAAUUUCCUCCAGGAAGCCUUUCUCUGACCCUUGUAAGGCCUUCAAGUUUGGACUAGAACUUCACCGUUUGCUUUCCUGGACCUCCAGCUUGCAGACCAGAUCGUGGGACUUCUCAGCAUUCAUAAUUGUAUUUUGAGUAAAGCCGAUUACCCUGCGUAAUGUGAGUGAGCCUCAUUUAAUCAGCUGAAGAUCUUAAGAGAAAAACCGAGGUUUUUCAAGGAAGAAACCAUUCUGCCUUAAGACUGCAACAUAGAAGAGACUCUGCCUGAGUUUCCCGCCUGCUGGCCUGCCCUGCAGAUUUCGGACUCAAGACUGCAACAUCAACUGCUACCUUCAUUUCCAGCCUUCCUGCCCUACAAAUUUCAGACUUCAGGCCCCACAAUCAUGGAAGCCAAAUAAAUCUCCUUGUCUGUGUUUGCCUGAAGAACCCUGACUAAUACAGGCUGCUUCACUUAUCAUGAUCCUAGGGUUGACUCUUGACUCCCCAAAAGAUCAUCAGUGUUAAAGGAUAAUUUCAAAAAGCUUUCAGCCUGAAGAAAAAAAAUAACGUGCUUGUAUUUAAAUAGCCAGACUCCUCACACCUCACUUUUAUGGAAUCAGAAAAGACUUCUCAUAGAGACUGGAACAUGCUCCAGUUCUGCUUGUGAGUGAAUUGAAGGAUAACUAGGAGAUCUUCUUAUAAUCCUUUAAAGAAGAACCCUUCUGUGGUAGGUGGACUUCUAAGAUGGCCCCCAAGAUUCCCAGCAUCUGGCGUACAUACCCUGUAUAAUAAACUCCCCUUGAUUGUGGGAGGGCUCUAUGAAUGUGGUGGCGAAGGGAUUUUGCAGAUGUUGCUUUUGAGUUAAUCAAAAUGGAGAUUAUUCUGGGUAGGCCUGACCUAAUCAGGUUAGCCCUUAAAGAAGAUAAGGAGCAACAGCCAACAUGAUCCUCUUGGCCUUGAAGACAGCCACCAUGAGUUGAACAGUUGCAGGGAAAUGAAGUUUUCCAACACUGCGUGAUCCUGGAAGAGAGCCUACAGCCUCAGGUGAGACCUCAGCCCUGGCCAACACCUUAAUUUCAGCCUAGUGAGAUGACGAUGAAAGAAACCGGCUAAUCUGUGCCCAAACUCCUGACCCAUGGAAAUAAAUGGAUGUUUUUCUUAA